ACGUUUUAGAAACAAUACAGACAACAGCAUACGAUUGGUUUGGCUCUCGCCUUAGGAAGCUGGGCCAUAGGCAUUCACAGCAGCACUAGGUCAGUGUGAUUCAGCGACGAACGAAAGAACGAACAAGAACUGGAAAGGCGAACCAGUUCAGGUCGUUCAUUUUAAAGACACGUUCAAAAGAACUAGUUCGCGACCGACCGACCCACCUCUACCCAGGAACGUGAAUGGAGAGCGAAGAUGAGACAAACACUAGUUAGCUGCCUGCUCGUUUACUUCCACAGGAAUUAUAAAGCAGACAGUUCUUCAAGGACAUCGAAAAUGAGCCACGGUCGUAAAUGCAGUGUUCCAGGCUGAAACUUAGGCUACAAAGAAAGCUGAGACUUUCCAUAGUCUUCCCAAGGAUUCAAAAGUUCGAGGGGCAUGGAUAAUGUUUUUCUACCAGAAGAUCCCUGCAAAGUUCGACACUCCGUUAUUAAUUUGCAACACAUUUCACCGAAGUCAGUUUUCAAAACCUUGGACAGUUAAGCAGGAUUUGCUAAGCUGCUGUUACUGAAACGAGGGGCUGUUCCGACCGUAAGGUCAUCACAACCGCAUGCUGUUUUAUCUUGCAGCCAUGCACUUCAAUGAGUGCCCCACAACGGAAGACAGCCAAGGAGAAACUAUGUACAGACUUGCCAAACAAUUUAUCAAAGACCCUCUUCCUUAUUGGGAUGUCGUCCAGCGGAUUCCUGUGCCCCAGGACUUGUGUGCUCAGCUUGACAGACCUUCCAU